rnacentral:rRNA from 1 species
GACAGAGGUGCCAAGCGUUAGGCGGAAUCACUGGCUUAAAGCGUGUGUAGGCGGCUCGUUUAGUACCUUGUGAAAUCCCACGGCUCAACCGUGGAACUGCUCGGUAUACUGGCGGGCUUGAGCCAUCUAGGGGCUACCGGAACAAAUGGUGGAGCGGUGAAAUGCGUAGAUAUCGCUUGGAACGCCAAAGGUGAAGACAGGUUGCUGGGGGUGUGCCGACGCUGAGACGGCGAAAGCCAGGGAGCCGGAACGGGAUUAGAAAACCCCUG